rnacentral:lncRNA from 1 species
AAGGAAUAUGGUAUCUGGCAUAUGAGGGAGCACCCUGAACAGUGUUCAGGAGGGACUGCCUCAUGUAGCUUUUCUUUUCUGCUCUUCUAAGCUUGUUGAUUAUUUUUCAAGUCAUAAAAUAAAUCCCCAAACUCUUCCCACAGGCUUCCUGUUAUGGCAAUGGAAAGGAUUCUAAGAAAGGAUGCCAACAGGCCAGAUGUCAUCUUUUUUGGUGGGCUGUACACAUCAGACUGGACUUGCCUUAAAUGAGAUUCAGACAAUCCUCUUUGCCAAAUGUCCAACAAGAAAGGAGCAGUUAUGCAGAACUUGUGGUAGAAGGAGGGAAACUGAGGACCUUAGACAUCUCUGUCUGAUGAGUAACUGCUACCAGUCACAGCUUGGAGAGCUGGACACUUCACCACUCAGGUCAACAGAUGUCUGAAAAUAACAGCAAGAAAGAAAUGAAAAAGAAUCUCCCACAGAGAAAUGUUUAUUUAAAGCCGGGUGCAGCGACUCAUGCCUGUAAUCCCAGCACUUUGGAAGGCUGAGGUGGGCGGAUCACGAGGUCAAGAGAUCAAGACCUUCCUGGCCAAUAUGGUAAAACCCUGUCUCUGCUAAAAAUACAAAAGUGAGCUGGGUGUGGUGACGCACGCCUCUGGUCCCAGCUACUCAGGAGACUGAGGCAGGAGAAUCAUUUGAACCCAGGAGUUGGAGGUUGCAGUGAACCGAGAUCACACUACUGCACUCUAGUCUGGCGACAGAGUGAGACUCCACCUCAAAAAAAAAAAAAAAGAAAAGAAAAAAGAAAAAGAAAAAGAAAAGAAAAGAAAUGUUUAUUUAAAGCAUCCGAAAGGAUACAAAAAUUAAUACAAUGGACACUGAUGUACCUUUCAUUUGGCUUAAAUAAAAAGCAUAAUUAAUACAGUGUGUUUGUGCUCUUUCUGGUUUAUCUCCCUUUUCUCCUCUCCCCAAGACAACCACCCUCCAGAAUUGCUUUCUGUC